rnacentral:rRNA from 1 species
AGUGAACGCUGGCGGUAGGCCUUACACAUGCAAGUCGAACGGCAGCACAGGAGAGCUUGCUCUCUGGGUGGCGAGUGGCGGACGGGUGAGGAAUACAUCGGAAUCUACUCUGUCGUGGGGGAUAACGUAGGGAAACUUACGCUAAUACCGCAUACGACCUACGGGUGAAAGCAGGGGAUCUUCGGACCUUGCGCGAUUGAAUGAGCCGAUGUCGGAUUAGCUAGUUGGCGGGGUAAAGGCCCACCAAGGCGACGAUCCGUAGCUGGUCCGAGAGGAUGAUCAGCCACACUGGAACUGAGACACGGUCCAGACUCCUACGGGAGGCAGCAGUGGGGAAUAUUGGACAAUGGGCGCAAGCCUGAUUCAGCCAUACCGCGUGGGUGAAGAAGGCCUUCGGGUUGUAAAGCCCUUUUGUUGGGAAAGAAAUCCAGCUGGCUAAUACCCGGUUGGGAUGACGGUACCCAAAGAAUAAGCACCGGCUAACUUCAUGCCAGCCGCCGCGGUAA